rnacentral:rRNA from 1 species
AGUUUGAUCCUGGCUCAGGAUGAACGCUAGCGGCAGGCUUAACACAUGCAAGUCGAGGGGUAACGGGGAAGCUUGCUUCCGCCGACGACCGGCGCACGGGUGCGUAACGCGUAUACAAUCUACCUUGUACUGGGGUAUAGCCUUUAGAAAUGAAGAUUANUCCCCCAUAGUCUCUUAGAGUGGCAUCACUUCUAGAGUAAAGGUUACGGUAUAAGAUGAGUAUGCGUUCUAUUAGUUUGUUGGUGUGGUAACGGCACACCAAGACUACGAUAGAUAGGGGCCCUGAGAGGGGGAUCCCCCACACUGGUACUGAGACACGGACCAGACUCCUACGGGAGGCAGCAGUGAGGAAUAUUGGACAAUGGAGGCAACUCUGAUCCAGCCAUGCCGCGUGCAGGAAGACUGCCCUAUGGGUUGUAAACUGCUUUUAUACAGGAAGAAACACCUCUACGUGUAGAGGCUUGACGGUACUGUAAGAAUAAGGAUCGGCUAACUCCGUGCCAGCAGCCGCGGUAAUACGGAGGAUCCAGGCGUUAUCCGGAAUCAUUGGGUUUAAAGGGUCCGUAGGUGGAUAACUAAGUCAGAGGUGAAAUCUUGCAGCUCAACUGUAAAAUUGCCUUUGAAACUGGUUAUCUUGAGUUAUUAUGAAGUAGUUAGAAUAUGUAGUGUAGCGGUGAAAUGCAUAGAUAUUACAUAGAAUACCAAUUGCGAAGGCAGAUUACUAAUAAUUAACUGACACUGAUGGACGAAAGCGUGGGUAGCGAACAGGAUAAGAUACCCUGGUAGUCCACGCCGUAAACGAUGGUUACUAGCUGUUUGGACUUCGGUCUGAGUGGNUAAGCGAAAGUGAUAAGUAACCCACCUGGGGAGUACGUUCGCAAGAAUGAAACUCAAAGGAAUUGACGGGGGCCCGCACAAGCGGUGGAGCAUGUGGUUUAAUUCGAUGAUACGCGAGGAACCUUACCAGGGCUUAAAUGUAAGUUGCAUUAGCUAGAGAUAGCUAUUUCUUCGGACCACUUACAAGGUGCUGCAUGGUUGUCGUCAGCUCGUGCCGUGAGGUGUCAGGUUAAGUCCUAUAACGAGCGCAACCCCUGUUGUUAGUUGCCAGCGAGUCAUGUCGGGAACUCUAACAAGACUGCCAGUGCAAACUGUGAGGAAGGUGGGGAUGACGUCAAAUCAUCACGGCCCUUACGUCCUGGGCUACACACGUGCUACAAUGGUAGGUACAGAGAGCAGCCACUGCGCGAGCAGGAGCGAAUCUAUAAAACCUAUCACAGUUCGGAUCGGAGUCUGCAACUCGACUCCGUGAAGCUGGAAUCGCUAGUAAUCGGAUAUCAGCCAUGAUCCGGUGAAUACGUUCCCGGGCCUUGUACAC